UGGGGGAAUAUUGGACAAUGGGCGCAAGCCUGAUCCAGCAAUGCCGCGUGUGUGAAGAAGGCCUUCGGGUUGUAAAGCACUUUUAUCAGGAGCGAAACGCUGUCGGCUAAUACCCGGCGGAACUGACGGUACCUGAGGAAUAAGCACCGGCUAACUUCGUGCCAGCAGCCGCGGUAAUACGAAGGGUGCAAGCGUUAAUCGGAAUUACUGGGCGUAAAGCGUGCGUAGGCGGUUUCUUAAGUCUGCUGUGAAAUCCCCGGGCUCAACCUGGGAAUGGCAGUGGAUACUGGGAGGCUAGAGUGUGUCAGAGGGUGGUGGAAUUCCCGGUGUAGCGGUGAAAAUGCGUAGAGAUCGGGAGGAACAUCAGUGGCGAAGGCGGCCACCUGGGACAACACUGACGCUGAGGCACGAAAGCGUGGGGAGCAAACAGGAUUAGAUACCCUGGUAGUCCACGCCCUAAACGAUGCGAACUGGAUGUUGGUCUCAACUCGGAGAUCAGUGUCGAAGCUAACGCGUUAAGUUCGCCGCCUGGGGAGU
rnacentral:rRNA from 1 species